UGAAUACGAGACGCUACGGCGUUGAAGCAGUCUAUGUCAUACUUCCAAGAAAAGCUCGCAAUGUCAUAAACAAAUAAUGCCUGUACCAUAACCGACACAGGUGGGUAGGUAGAGUAUACUAAGGGGCGCGAGAUAACUCUCUCUAAGGAACUCGGCAAAAUGACUCCGUAACUUCGGGAGAAGGAGUGCCUUAUUUAUAAGGUUGCAAUAACAAGAUCCAAGCAACUGUUUAUCAAAAACACAGGUCUCCGCUAAGUCGUAAGACGAUGUAUGGGGGCUGACGCCUGCCCAGUGCCAGAAGGUUAAAGAAGUUGGUUAGCAUUCGCGAAGCUGAUAACUGAAGCCCUGGUGAACGGCGGCCGUAACUAUAACGGUCCUAAGGUAGCGAAAUUCCUUGUCGGGUAAGUUCCGACCCGCACGAAAGGCGUAAUGAUUUGGAUACUGUCUCGGAGAGGGGCUCGGUGAAAUAGACUUGUCUGUGAAGAUGCGGACUACCUGCACCUGGACAGAAAGACCCUAUGAAGCUUUACUGUAACCUGAAAUUGAAAUUGGACCUUAUUUGCGCAGUAUAGGUGGGAGGCGUUGAGAGUAUUCUUGCGGGAAUAUUGGAGCCAUCAGUGAGAUACCACUCUUGUAAUGUUAGAUUUCUAACUUUGUAUCAUGAUCUGGUCAAAGAACAGUUUCAGGCGGGCAGUUUGACUGGGGCGGUCGCCUCCCAAACGGUAACGGAGGCGUACAAAGGUUUCCUCUGAACGGGUAGAAAUCGUAUCUAGAGUGUAAAGGCAUAAGGAAGCUUGACUGUGAGACCUACAAGUCGAGCAGGGACGAAAGUCGGUCUUAGUGAUCUGACGGUGCUGAGUGGAAAGGCCGUCACUCAACGGAUAAAAGUUACUCUAGGAUAACAGGCUGAUCUCCCCCAAGAGUUCACAUCGACGGGGAGGUUUGGCACCUCGAUGUCGGCUCAUCGCACCCUGGGGCGGUAGUACGUCCCAAGGGUUGGGCUGUUCGCCCAUGAAAGCGGUACGCGAGCUGGGUUCAGAACGUCGUGAGACAGUUCGGUCCAUAUCCGGUGUAGGCGUUAGAAUAUUGAGAGGAGCCUUCUUUAGUACGAGAGGACCGAGAAGGACAUACCUCUGGUGUACCAGUUAUCAUGCCAACGGUAAACGCUGGGUAGCUAUGUAUGGAGAGGAUAACCGCUGAAAGCAUCUAAGUGGGAAGCCCACCUCAAGAUAAGUAUUCUCA
rnacentral:rRNA from 1 species